CUAACAAAAAUGUUCCAGCAAAAAUUCUUCCUCUUUGUCGUCGUCUUUGCUGUGAUGGCUAUUAUGUUCGCAACCGGUGCUCCCACUGACGCCGAAGAUCCAUCUGAGAACGACGAAACUUUCUGUCGUCCAUUCUCUUCGUGCUCGAGCAGCACAGAUUGUACCAGCUAUUCCAUCUACAAGACCUGUCGCACUCGUUUUUUUGGCAACAAGCAAUGCUGUCUGUUUUAAACGCCACAAUUGAACUGAUUAACCCGAGUGCUGGGUCACGUCCUAGGAAAACAAAAUCAGUUGCAU